ACCGGUUGAUCCUGCCGGAGGGGACCCCUAUCGGGCUCGGACUAAGCCAUGCAAGUCGGCUGGGGGCCCAUCCCGCCCCCGGCGGCGCACGGCUCAGUAAUACACGGUCAACCUACCCUGGGGACCGGGAUAUCCUCGGGAAACUGAGGGUAAUCCCGGGUAGGGGCGGGGUGCUGGAAUGCCCCCGCCCUGAGAGUAGGCGGGGGGGUGGCCCCGCUGAGGCCCCAGGAUGGGACCGUGGCCUAUCAGGUAGUAGGUGGGGUAACGGCCCACCUAGCCUAAGACGGGUACGGGCGGUGGGAGCCGGAGCCCGGAGAUGGGCACUGAGACAAGGGCCCAGGCCCUACGGGGCGCAGCAGGCGCGAAACUUCCGCAAUGGGCGAAAGCCCGACGGAGUGAGCCCGAGUGCCGCCCGCUGAGGGCGGCUGUCCCCGGGUGUAAACAGCCCGGGAUAGGAAGGGGAGGGCAAGGCUGGUGCCAGCCGCCGCGGUAAAACCAGCUCCUCGAGGGGUCCCCACGCAUACUGGGCCUAAAGCGUCCGUAGCCGGCCCCGUAAGUCCCCGGUUAAAUCC
rnacentral:rRNA from 1 species